rnacentral:lncRNA from 1 species
CUUAUCCUGCCGACUAGGGGACCACGCACCACAGUAAAGUGCCAUCCGGGCCCACCUCGCCUGGAGCAAGUACGCAGCAGCGGAAUCGACGCGCCGUAACGUCCAAAUUCAUCCCUGACAUACCGACCACAGUAAGCUAGGCCCACCUGCCAGAGUUCCAGUCAAGUUAUUCUACUACUGUAGAUUUUAUUUUUCGAUGACCGCGUGCCGCCAAAGCUUUUUUCUUCUUUUUUAAUAGGCCUCGUGUUUAGACGUGGGACACGCGUUGUGCUCGUGCAGGUCCCCACCUGAGCACCAGGAGGGCUCUGCCACCGACACGUAGACCUGGAGACGUCGGGUCCACCGUUCAGGGGGAAGGGUCGGUAGGGCCCACGUCGAAUUGUCCGUCCGUCCGUUUCUCGUCUCCUUGCCUACGCAUCCGGCUGCCACUGGCUGCUUCCCAUGGCCUCGUUCUCCACACCGUG